rnacentral:rRNA from 1 species
UACAGAGGGGGCGAGCGUUGUUCGGAAUUACUGGGCGUAAAGGGUGCGUAGGCGGGUCUUUAAGUCAGGGGUGAAAUCCUGGAGCUCAACUCCAGAACUGCCUUUGAUACUGAAGAUCUUGAGUUCGGGAGAGGUGAGUGGAACUGCGAGUGUAGAGGUGAAAUUCGUAGAUAUUCGCAAGAACACCGGUGGCGAAGGCGACAUCCUGGACCGGUAUUGACGCUGAGGCGCGAAAGCCAGGGGAGCAAACGGG